rnacentral:rRNA from 1 species
UACGUAGGGUGCAAGCGUUAAUCGGAAUUACUGGGCGUAAAGCGUGCGCAGGCGGUUAUGCAAGACAGAUGUGAAAUCCCCGGGCUCAACCUGGGAACUGCGUUUGUGACUGCAAGACUCGAGUGCGGCAGAGGGGGGUGGAAUUCCACGUGUAGCAGUGAAAUGCGUAGAGAUGUGGAGGAACACCGAUGGCGAAGGCAGCCCCCUGGGUCGACACUGACGCUCAUGCACGAAAGCGUGGGGAGCAAACAGG